AGCUACAGUGGUAAAGGGUGGCUGCUGCUUCAAUGAAGAUGAAAAGAGGAAGAUGGUGAUGAAGAAAGAAGAUGGAAAGAAAAGGAGAGCUGCCAUGUUUCAAAGGGGAAGAUUCUACAACACCACCACAUUUGUGAGUUUGUGCUCUUGAAGACUUUGGCUUGACUUGGUCCCUCAUGCUGACGCUCCCAUUUGUGGUCCCUCUGGGUCAUCAUGGAACCAACAUCCUGUCCCCACGGUGCCAUACAAUCAGGGUGCAUGCUCUGGAGUGCUGUUCUGUUUGAAACCAGACUGGACAACAUCAAGGAGCUGUUUAAAGGCACCUGCCUCACAAUCCCUUUGGAGAACUUCAGACUUGUCUUGAUGGAACAACACAGGCUCUGAAGAUACACUGGCCUCCAUGGGCAUUCACUUCCUCGAGACCUCUGGAGCCUUUGCACCUACCUGGAAGGGCUAAAUAUUUUGGCCAGAAGAAUAGAAUAUGAUGAUGGUCACCUAUCAGCCAGUGUCCUCUUGGCUGCUUCCUGUUCCCUGCACUAUUUAACUGACUUUCCUUGAAGCAGACCUCACAGAAGUCAACAGCAUGGCUGGUUUUUUUCAGGUGCCCAAGGCUUUGUUACUGAACAGAGGAGACACAUCUCCCACAUGGAUGGGAAUGGGGACAGCCAUGGGGUGCAGUAUGACCUCUAUUCUCUGUGGUGCAGGAACAUCUCCACCUGACUUUAUGCCUUUUGCAGUAAAUACUUUCUGCUUUAAUGUGAAUUUACUGCUCCAAAAAUAACUGUAAUUACCCAAGAAGCAGAGGAACCUAUUUACAAGAUUUAAAGGGGAAGAGGAAAGAAAAUCUUAGAAGCAAAAAUCCAGCAUCCAGGCCUCAAAAUACAAAACUGAAUUGAAAGAAAGGGCAGCUCACCCCUGUGGGAGAGGCUCAGCCUGUUUGGAGGGGUAUGCACUCCUUGGUACUUUGUCCAUGACAACCAUCAGGAAUUGCUCAACUCAGAGAGCAAUAUUACUUGAAAACAAAUUAUUCCUCAUGAGCAAACCAGCUGAAGAGAGGAGGGGACUCUGGCAGUACUCACACCUGUGAAAGUUUGUAAGUUAUUGCUGAACAUAAGGGGGAAAAAAGGCAUGGGUGUGCACCAGAGAAGAAUAAUGUAAGACAAUAAACUUGUUACAACGUCA